rnacentral:rRNA from 1 species
UACAGAGGUCUCAAGCGUUGUUCGGAUUCAUUGGGCGUAAAGGGUGCGUAGGUGGCGCCGUAAGUCGGGUGUGAAAUUUCGGAGCUUAACUCCGAAACUGCAUUCGAUACUGCGGUGCUUGAGGACUGGAGAGGAGACUGGAAUUCAUGGUGUAGCAGUGAAAUGCGUAGAGAUCAUGAGGAAGACCAGUGGCGAAGGCGGGUCUCUGGACAGCAACUGACGCUGAGGCACGAAGGCCAGGGGAGCAAACGGG